ACAACUUUCAGCAACGGAUCUCUUGGCUCUCGCAUCGAUGAAGAACGCAGCG
rnacentral:rRNA from 1 species